UUCAUUUUGGUAUCAUUCAGUAAACUGUGUCUCUGAAUAUUCUCAUUUUUAUGAUCAGAAAUUCUGUAAGACGCGAAUAUUAUAAAGAUUCAAUAAAGAAAGUCUCGGGGGACCGGUUGGGUGAUAUUUUUAUCGAAAUUUGACCGCACGUGUGAGCGUACGGAGAAAAGAUCAAAAGCUGAAAUCAUGUCUUGGAAAUGCGAGAUUUGUAACAAGGUAUUUUCAAAGAAAGGAAAUUUGGUGAAACAUAAAAGAACACACACUGGAGACAAACCUUACGAAUGUGAUGUUUGCAACAAAAGAUUUUCGCAGCCAAGUGCCUUAACUGUACAUAAAAGAACACACACUGGAGAGAAACCUUAUGAAUGUGAUGUUUGCAACAAAAGAUUUUCGCAUUCAGGUGCCUUAACUGUACAUAAAAGAAGACACACUGGAGAUAAACCUUAUGAAUGUGAUGUUUGCAACAAAAGAUUUUCACAAUCGAGCCACUUAGCUAGGCAUAAAAGAAUGCAUGCUGGAGACAAACCUUAUGAAUGUGAUGUUUGCAACAAAAGAUUUUCGCAUUCAGGUGCCUUAACUGUACAUAAAAGAAGACACACUGGAGAUAAACCUUAUGAAUGUGAUGUUUGCAACAAAAGAUUUUCACAAUCGAGCCACUUAGCUAGGCAUAAAAGAAUGCAUGCUGGAGACAAACCUUAUGAACGUGAUGUUUGCAACAAAAGAGUUUCGCAGUCAAGUGCCUUAACUGUACAUAAAAGAACACACACUGGAGACAAACCUUAUGAAUGUGAUGUUUGCAACAGAAGAUUUUCACAGUCAGGUGCCUUAACUGUACAUAAAAGGACACACACUGGAGACAAACCUUAUGAAUGUGAUGUUUGCAACAAAGUGUUUUUGCGUUCAUGCCACUUAGCUAGACAUAAAAGUACACAUACUACAGACAAACCUUACAAAUUUAAUGUUUCCAACAGAUUUUCAGAAUCGCACAAGUUAACACAACUUAAAAUAUCAGCACACAAGAGAAACCAGAGUUUUGAGUGUGGUAUCUGCAAGAAGACAUUCACACAACGACAAAGUCUUAAACGUCACUGGAGAUCACACUUGAGAGAUGGCUUAUUAUUGUGCCACACCUGUGGCAAAGAAAUUAUUCAAGGACAAGGACAUGCUAAUGAGAUA